rnacentral:rRNA from 1 species
CCUAGUAACUGCGAGUGAAGCGGGAAAAGCUCAAAUUUAAAAUCUGACAGUUUCACUGUCCGAGUUGUAAUCUAGAGAAGUGUUAUCCGUGCUGGACCGUGUACAAGUCUCCUGGAAUGGAGCGUCAUAGAGGGUGAGAAUCCCGUCUCUGACACGGACUCCCAGUGCAAUGUGAUGCGCUCUCAAAGAGUCGAGUUGUUUGGGAAUGCAGCUCUAAAUGGGUGGUAAAUUCCAUCUAAAGCUAAAUAUUGGCGAGAGACCGAUAGCGAACAAGUACCGUGAGGGAAAGAUGAAAAGAACUUUGGAAAGAGAGUUAAACAGUACGUGAAAUUGUUGAAAGGGAAACGCUUGAAGUCAGUCGCGUCUACUGGGGAUCAACCUUGCUUUUGCUUGGUGUACUUCCCAGCUGAUGGGCCAGCAUCAAUUUUGACCAGUGGAUAAAGGUCAGGGGAAUGUGGCAUCUCCGGAUGUGUUAUAGCCCUUGGUUGUAUACAUUGGUUGGGAUUGAGGAACUCAGCACGCCGAAAGGCCGGGUUUUUAACCACGUUCGUGCUUAGGAUGCUGGCAUAAUGGCUUUAAUCGACCCGUCUUGAAACACGGACCAAGGAGUCUAACAUGCCUGCGAGUAUUUGGGUGGAAAACCCAUGUGCGCAAUGAAAGUGAAGAUCAGGAUCCCUGUCAUGGGGAGCACUGAUGCCCGGACCAGACCUUUUGUGACGGAUCUGCGGUAGAGCAUGCAUGUUGGGACCCGAAAGAUGGUGAACUAUGCCUGAAUAGGGUGAAGCCAGAGGAAACUCUGGUGGAGGCUCGUAGCGAUUCUGACGUGCAAAUCGAUCGUCAAAUUUGGGUAUAGGGG